rnacentral:rRNA from 1 species
UACGGAGGGGGCUAGCGUUGUUCGGAAUCACUGGGCGUAAAGCGCGCGCAGGCGGCUGUCUACGUCCGGGGUGAAAGCCCAGAGCUCAACUCUGGGAUUGCCUUGGAUACGGGAUAGCUUGAGGAUCGGAGAGGCAAGGGGAAUUCCACGUGUAGCGGUGAAAUGCGUAGAGAUGUGGAGGAACACCUGUGGCGAAGGCGCCUUGCUGGCCGAUUUCUGACGCUGAGGCGCGAAAGCGUGGGGAGCAAACAGG